GAAAACCACGGUGGUACAGGAUGGGCCCGCGUCUGAUUAGUUAGUUGGCAGGGUAACGGCCUACCAAGACGAUGAUCAGUAGCCGGCUUGAGAGAGUGGACGGCCACAUUGGGACUGAGACACGGCCCAGACUCCUGCGGGAGGCAGCAGUGGGGAAUACUGCACAAUGGGGGGAACCCUGAUGCAGCAAUGCCGCGUGGGUGAAGAAGCACUCCGGUGCGUAAAGCCCUGUCAGCAGGGAAGAAAAUGACAGUACCUGACCAAGAAGCCCCGGCUAACUACGUGCCAGCAGCCGCGGUAAUACGUAGGGGGCAAGCGUUAUCCGGAUUUACUGGGUGUAAAGGGAGCGCAGGCGGUAUGGCAAGUCAGAUGUGAAAACCCAGGGCUCAACCCUGGGACUGCAUUUGAAACUGCCAUACUGGAGUGCCGGAGAGGUAAGUGGAAUUCCUAGUGUAGCGGUGAAAUGCGUAGAUAUUAGGAGGAACACCAGUGGCGAAGGCGGCUUACUGGACGGUAACUGACGCUGAGGCUCGAAAGCGUGGGGAGCAAACAGGAUUAGAUACCCUGGUAGUCCACGCUGUAAACGAUGAAUACUAGGUGUCGGGGUACAUAAGUACCUCG
rnacentral:rRNA from 1 species